rnacentral:rRNA from 1 species
UACAGAGGUCCCAAGCGUUGUUCGGAUUCAUUGGGCGUAAAGGGUGUGUAGGUGGCGCCGUAAGUCGGGUGUGAAAUUUCGGAGCUUAACUCCGAAACUGCAUUCAAUACUGCGGUGCUUGAGGACUGGAGAGGAGACUGGAAUUCAUGGUGUAGCAGUGAAAUGCGUAGAGAUCAUGAGGAAGACCAGUGGCGAAGGCGGGUCUCUGGACAGUUCCUGACACUGAGACACGAAGGCCAGGGGAGCAAACGGG